rnacentral:rRNA from 1 species
GUAACCUGCCUUAUAGUGGGGGAUAGCCUUUCGAAAGGAAGAUUAAUACCGCAUAAGAUUGUAGUAUCGCAUGAUAUAGCAAUUAAAGGAGCAAUCCGCUAUAAGAUGAACCCGCGUCGCAUUAGCUAGUUGGUGAGGUGAUGGCUCACCAGGGCGACGAUGCGUAGCCGACCUGAGAGGGUGAUCGGCCACAUUGGGACUGAGACACGGCCCAGACUCCUACGGGAGGCAGCAUG